UAUUUUUCUCUUGUUCACAUUUCUUUGAUGGAUUAUAAAAAAAAAAAAGAGUACCCGCCCUCUCCAUUCAUCUAUACCCACCUUCUCCUCCGGUACCAUUCGCCUAAUCAAUUACUCUCGCAGUCUUGGCAGUUGUUUGCUUCAUAUUUUAUAGAAGGAGAUUUCUGGAAAAACAGAGGAGUCCAGUGGUUAGCAAAACAGGAUUCAACAUCAUUUAAACAUCUAUUAAGGUAAUUUAUUUUUAAAACUUCAUUUUAGGGUUUUGUGAAAAUUUGUUUUCUUCUUUUUCAAAUCUAGUACUCUAUGAGUGUCCAAGAUUCUAGAUUAUGUUUAUGAUAGGUAACUACUCAACAUUUCCUCAUAGUCAGAUUCAGAUUCGUGAAAUAUCGAUAUAAAUGCAGAAUAAUAACAUACAGAAAUUGAUACAAACUGC
rnacentral:lncRNA from 1 species